AUAUAUAUAUCUCACAUGUUGUAUACAUCAUUUUAGGGACAUGAUGUACAUUUCAUACAAGAAAAGACUUGUUGUUGGUCAUCAUCAAUUCAUACUUACUACCCGUUUUCUAACACAACAUAAUAUUUACUUGUCAACAUUUUUUUUCUAUAAAGGAAAAGUAGACUUGGUAAUACCUGAGAAUAACAGAAGCGCCUUGGGGAAAAUGAUACAGUAGUAGGGUAGGCCGGUGAUAUCUAUGGCAUUGCAGUGCCGAGUGUUUGUCCAUUUUGAGGUUGAUCAAACAAUCAUUUCUUUCAAAUAUGUUGACAUUGCACUCCUCUUCUUCAGUCCCACGAGAAACUAAAGAAAAGAAAACAAGACCAAAAAAAAUAAUAAAAACGUAAGAAUCGUUUUAUUAUCAUCAUCGUGGCAUCAAAGAGACAUUUUGUCAAAAAGAACAUCAUAUUAUUAGUAUUAUUAUAUUUACUUUUGCCACGUUUUCUUUAUCAUGACAAUAAAUAAAUAAAAAACAGUAUUGGGAUUGCCACGUAACGGAAAAGGACAAGUGUGGCACUAUCUAGUAUCUCAAUUGGUGAAAACAAAGCUCUCUGUAUUUCUCUCCAAUACAGAGCAGGUGGUUGUUAAGUCUCUGUAUUUUGUUUAUAAAUAGCAUUCCUCUUCAGAUAACAAAGAUUCCCUCUACCACUCACUUCUCUCCCUCCCUCAUCCUUUCUCACCAUCACCAUUUCUCUCUCUCCUCCUCUCCUCUCCCUCUAUUCCUACCUAAAAACUCCCGACUGCUCUUCUUCAUCUCUGUCAACCCACCAAGGCACCAACACAGGAAAAGCUGCCUACAAAACUUACAACCAAACAAAAACCCAAUUUUCAAACUCCAAAACUAUAAUCAAGCAAGCGCCCAUAGACGCUUAAUGGCUCUCAUUCCAACCUUAAUUCUGAGUCUCCAUAUGCUCCUCAUUUCAAAAGGUAGUACAAUAUCAGUACCUGUCAGUCUGUCACGUGUCAAUUCAAAUAUAUGAACACAUUUUUAUGAUUUACUGUAAUAUGCAGGUGUUUCAGGUACCACAUUUACAUUUGUAAACAAGUGCGACUACACAGUCUGGCCAGGAAUUCUAGGCAGUCCAAGUUUAGGUAGCACAGGUUUUGAGCUAGCCAAGGGAAGCUCUAGAUCCUUCCAAGCUCCAACAGGCUGGUCUGGCCGGUUCUGGGGCCGAACUGGAUGCAACUUUGAUGGGUCAGGUCAGGGCUCAUGCACCACUGCGGACUGUGGCUCAGGCCAAGUUGAGUGCAAUGGUGCCGGAGCCACUCCUCCUGCUACACUGGCCGAGUUCACACUCGGGUCAGGCAGCCAAGACUUCUAUGAUGUAAGCCUCGUGGAUGGCUACAACAUACAAAUGAUUGUUGAGGUGAGUGGUGGGUUGGGUCCGUGUGCAUCCACUGGUUGUGUCGAGGAUUUGAACCUGAAGUGCCCCUCUGAGCUGAGGGUGGAGGGUGGCAACGCUUGCAAUAGUGCAUGUGCAGCUUUUUCAACACCAGAAUACUGCUGCAAAGGCGCAUAUAAUUCACCAACAGCGUGUACACCAUCCGUGUAUUCACAGAUGUUCAAAUCCACGUGCCCUAGAUCAUAUAGCUACGCCUAUGACGACAAGACAAGUACAUUUACUUGUACAGGUGCAGAUUACAUCAUGACAUUUUGUCCAACCCACCCCAGGUAACAUUAUCUCUUAAAGGAAUCACAAAUUUAAAUUCUUUGCUUUUGUAGUUUGAAUUCUACAAUCAAUUAUUGAUGUUAACCUGAAAUUGGUUUCCUCUACAGUCAAAAAGCUUCAAAA
rnacentral:lncRNA from 1 species